rnacentral:rRNA from 1 species
GAUGAACGCUGGCGGCGUGCCUAAUACAUGCAAGUCGAGCGAACAGACGAGGAGCUUGCUCCUCUCACGUUAGCCGCGGACGGGUGAGUAACACGUGGAUAACCUACCUAUAAGACUGGGAUAACUUCGGGAAUCCGGCGCUAAUACCGGAUAAUAUAUUGAACCGCAUUGUUCAAUAGUGAAAGACGGUUUUGCUGUCUCUUAUAGAUGGAUCCGCGCCUCAUGAGCUAGUUGGUAAGUUAACGGCUUACGAAGGCAACGAUGCGUAACCGACCUAAGAGGGUGAUAGGCCACACUGGAACUGAGACAGGGUCCAGACUCCUACGGGAGGGAGCAGUAGGGUAUCUGCCGCAAUGGGCGAAAGCAUGACAGAGCAGCGCGGAGUGAGUGAUGAAGGUCUUCGGAUCGUAAAACUCGGUUAUUAGGGAAGAACAAAUGUGUAAGUAACUAUGCACGUCUUGACGGUACCUAAUCAGAAAGCUACGGCUAACUACGUG